rnacentral:rRNA from 1 species
GUGGGGAAUCUUCCGCAAUGGACGAAAGUCUGACGGAGCAACGCCGCGUGAGUGAAGAAGGUUUUCGGAUCGUAAAGCUCUUUCGUUAGGGACGAACGUGCUCUUUGUGAAUAAUGAGGAGUAAUGACGGUACCUAAAUAAGAAGCCACGGCUAACUACGUGCCAGCAGCCGCGGUAAUACGUAGGUGGCAAGCGUUGUCCGGAAUUAUUGGGCGUAAAGCGCGCGCAGGCGGGAUAUCAAGUCUGUCUUAAAAGUGCGAGGCUCAACCUCGUGAGGGGACAGAAACUGGUAUUCUUGAGUGUCGGAGAGGAAAGUGGAAUUCCAAGUGUAGCUGUGAAAUGCGUAGAGAUUUGGAAGAACACCAGUGGCGAAGGCGACUUUCUGGACGAUGUCUGACGCUGAGGCGCGAAAGCUAGGGGAGCGAACGGGAUUAGAUACCCGGGUAGUCC